rnacentral:rRNA from 1 species
UACGAAGGGGGCUAGCGUUGCUCGGAAUCACUGGGCGUAAAGCGCGACGUAGGCGGAUUGUUAAGUCAGGGGUGAAAUCCUGGAGCUCAACUCCAGAACUGCCUUUGAUACUGGCGAUCUUGAGUCCGGGAGAGGUGAGUGGAACUGCGAGUGUAGAGGUGAAAUUCGUAGAUAUUCGCAAAGAACACCAGUGGCGAAGGCGGCUCACUGGCCCGAUAACUGACGCUGACGGCACGAAAGCG